rnacentral:lncRNA from 1 species
UUCACAUUUUCUCUCUCAUCACCACGUACUCCUCGUUCUCCUCUCCUCUCUAUCACUACUCUCGAGGCGAGUCGAACGAAGGUACCUUUCUCUCUCUAAUUGUGUAAUGCUAUUUGCAUAUAGAUCGUUUUAACAUUUCUUAUAUGUCUGAUCUCCGUUUUGCAUAUGUAUGUUUGUAUAUUCAUUUCAUUGUUUUUACGCUUUUCUCUCCAUAGAUCUGUAAAAUGUUGAGAAUUUUCGGUUUUAUAACUUUACUGAAUAUAUCGAGUUCGUCGUUUUAAUUUUAAUUGUUUUUCUCACUCUUCUCCGCCGAGAUCUGUGAAAUAUCACCUUUUUUUUGGAUUUGUAACUUUAAUGAGCUUCAUUUCAUAGUAGUCAAUGUAUAUAUGUUCAUUUUAUGAUUUUUUUACAGUUUUCGCUACUUAGAUCUGUGAAAUAUAACGGAUUUCUGGUUUUUAACGUUAAUGAGUCUUGUUUCGCAGUAGAUAUAAAGGUGUUAUGGAGAUCUGCUAUUGUUUUUGUUAGAACUGUGGUGUAGUUUAACGGAUCUGUUUUUUUGCUGAUCUGAUUUAUGUUUUCAGUGCUUUUUUGAUUGUUUAUUCUGCAGAUCUGGUCAACGAUUUAUAGUUUUGAUCUGUUCAUUUUGCUGCACCACGGUAAAACUUGGUGAAUUUUACUAGUACUAAUAUUUUUAAGUGUAUGUAAAACUGCUACUUCUAGUACUUUUAAUAUGAUAUUUAAAUGAUUAAAGUUAAUUAUUGAAGAGUGACUUAAUACGCUCGUGUGUAUGUGGGUUUGUUUAAGUUUGUAUUAUGAUGCUCGAAUAUAUGAGUAUAGGAAUCUAUUUGUCAGGGCAUAAUAUGAAUACAGUAAGUAUUUCGUGCCACAGAUAAUGAGAAUUGUUUUGGAAUUGGUACUGCUAUAACAAUUCUUUUUGUAAAACUAAAUUGGUUAUGAAAUUGGAAUUGAUUCUGUACUAGACUAGUAGUGAUGCACUGCUUGUUUUGUGAUUUUGUUUUUGUAGGAAUGGGAAGUUAAGGUUUCUAUGUUAGACUAGAUAAUAUCUCAUAUAGUUCUUAGAUUAAUCAUUAACCUUUAUAUAGGAUGGACCAGUGUGAUGCUUGAUCUUGGCACUUAGUGCCCCUUUUUAUUGCAAUUUCCAGAUAGAGAUUUUUGUUUUUUGUUUGAAAGUUGUGCUGAUUGUGUCAUUAUGUUUGUGUAAAGUUGGUGAAUUUUGAGCUUUGAAUGCACAUUUUCUGUUAUAAACUAUUUAGAGAUUUGACUUCAAUGAGAUUUAUCAUGUGAUUUUAGCUUAAAAGUGUAAGUUAUUGUAGUUUAUGUAGCUUAUUACUAUGUAGAUGUAAGAAAACGGGCAGUUACAUUUCUAAAGCGGCAAAAGGAAUUGCCAUUUCAAGACAACUGGUAAAUGUGAGAAUACCACGUCUAAUUGAUUUGAUUAAGGUUCAUGUUUGAGUUGGUAUAUGUUGUAACUGGUUUUUCUGUAAUGCUGAACAUGCAGUUGAAUGAUGAGAAGUAAGAUAUUUUCUUUUAGUUGUUAUGACAGCAAUUUUGUGUACUUCGCUGAAUUUGUGGACGGCUUUUGUCCGUGGAGAGCUUAAAUGCAGAGAUCUGAUUCCAAUGCUCUAACUGUGCAGGACUUCGUUAAACAUUGCAAUGGCAGAUAUGAACCAGCACCCAACUGUCUUCCAGAAGGCAGCUAACCAGCUACACCUGAGCUCAAGUCUUUCCCAAGAUGUCCAUGCUCGCCAUGGGGGUGUGCAGCCUGCUGUUUACCAGAGGCGUUUUGCUUAUGGCAACUACUCUAAUGCUGGACUACAA